UACGUAGGGACCGAGCGUUGUCCGGAAUCAUUGGGCGUAAAGAGCGUGUAGGCGGCCUUUUAAGUCCUGCGUGAAAUCCUGCGGCUCAACCGCAGACGGUCGUGGGAAACUGGAAGGCUAGAGUGCGGGAGAGGAGAGUGGAAUUCCCGGUGUAGCGGUGAAAUGCGCAGAUAUCAGGAGGAACACCGAUGGCGAAGGCAGGUCUCUGGGCCAUAACUGACGCUGAGAAGCGAAAGCAUGGGGAGCGAACAGG
rnacentral:rRNA from 1 species